rnacentral:rRNA from 1 species
UACGUAGGGUGCAAGCGUUGUUCGGAAUCACUGGGCGUAAAGGGAGCGCAGGCGGGAGAAUAAGUUAGGAGUGAAAUGUAUGGGCUCAACCCAUAAUCUGCUCUUAAUACUGUUCUUCUUGAGUAUGGGAGAGGAAGAUGGAAUUCCAGGUGUAGCGGUGGAAUGCGUAGAUAUCUGGAAGAACACCAGUUGCGAAGGCGGUCUUCUGGCCCAAUACUGACGCUCAGGCUCGAAAGCUAGGGGAG